GGAGAGAUGGCCGAGUGGUUCAUGGCUCCGGUCUUGAAAA
rnacentral:tRNA from 3 species